AGUGAACGCUGGCGGUAGGCCUAACACAUGCAAGUCGAACGGCAGCACAGUAAGAGCUUGCUCUUACGGGUGGCGAGUGGCGGACGGGUGAGGAAUACAUCGGAAUCUACUUUUUCGUGGGGGAUAACGUAGGGAAACUUACGCUAAUACCGCAUACGACCUACGGGUGAAAGCAGAGGAUCUUCGGACCUUGCGCGAUUGAAUGAGCCGAUGUCGGAUUAGCUAGUUGGCGGGGUAAAGGCCCACCAAGGCGACGAUCCGUAGCUGGUCUGAGAAGAUGAUCAGCCACACUGGAACUGAGACACCGUCCAGACUCCUACGGGAGGCAGCAGUGGGGAAUAUUGGACAAUGGGCGAAAGCCUGAUCCAGCCAUACCGCGUGGGUGAAGAAGGCCUUCGGGUUGGAAAGCCCUUUUGUUGGGAAAGAAAAGCAGCAGGUUAAUACCCCGCUGUUCUGACGGUACCCAAAGAAUAAGCACCGGCUAACUUCGUG
rnacentral:rRNA from 1 species